CUACGGGUUGCUGCAGUAGGGAAUAUUGGACAAUGGGCGAAAGCCUGAUCCAGCAACACCGCGUGCACGAUGACGGCCUUCGGGUUGUAAAGUGCUUUUAGAGGAGAUGAGAAAGGACAGUAUCCUCUGAAUAAGCCUCGGCGAACUACGUGCCAGCAGCCGCGGUAAAACGUAGGAGGCAAGCGUUAUCCGGAUUUAUUGGGCGUAAAGCGCGUGCAGGCGGUCUAGCAAGUUGGAUGUGAAAGCUCCCGGCUCAACUGGGAGAGGUCGUUCAAUACUGUUAGACUAGAGAAUAGGAGAGGGAGGUGGAAUUCCGGGUGUAGUGGUGAGAUGCGUAGACAUCCGGAGGAACACCAGUGGCGAAAGCGGCCUCCUGGACUAUUUCUGACGCUAAGACGCGAAAGCUAGGGUAGCAAACGGGAUUAGAUACCCGAGUAGUC
rnacentral:rRNA from 1 species